rnacentral:rRNA from 2 species
AACUUUCAACAACGGAUCUCUUGGGUUCUCGCAUCGAUGAAGAACGCAGCGAAAUGCGAUAAGUAAUAUGAAUUGCAGAUAUUCGUGAAUCAUCGAAUCUUUGAACGCACAUUGCGCCCUUUGGUAUUCCAAAGGGCAUGCCUGUUUGAGCGUCAUUU